rnacentral:rRNA from 1 species
GUGCCAGCGCCGCGGUAAUACGGAGGAUCCGAGCGUUAUCCGGAUUUAUUGGGUUUAAAGGGUGCGUAGGCGGCCUGUCAAGUCGGCGGUGAAACCCCCGGGCUCAACCCGGGGACUGCCGUCGAAACUGACGGGCUUGAGUACGUUGGGAGUGCGCGGAAUGUGUGGUGUAGCGGUGAAAUGCUUAGAUAUCACACAGAACACCGAUCGCGAAGGCAGCGCACUACGCCGUAACUGACGCUGAGGCACGAAGGUGCGGGGAUCGAACAGG